ACGAACGCUGGCGGCGUGCUUCACACAUGCCAGUCGCACGGAAAGGCCCUGCUUGCAGGGUGCUCGAGUGGCGAACGGGUGAGUAACACGUGGGUGAUCUGCCCCUUACUUUGGGAUAAGCCUGGGAAACUGGGUCUAAUACUGGAUAGGACCAUGCUGUAGGUGGUGUGGUGGAAAGAUUAGUUUCGGUAAGGGAUGAGCUCGCGGCCUAUCAGCUUGUUGGUGGGGUAAUGGCCUACCAAGGCGUCGACGGGUAGCCGGCCUGAGAGGGUGGACGGCCACAUUGGGACUGAGAUACGGCCCAGACUCCUACGGGAGGCAGCAGUGGGGAAUAUUGCACAAUGGGCGCAAGCCUGAUGCAGCGACGCCGCGUGGGGGAUGACGGCAUUCGGGUUGUAAACUCCUUUCAGCCAUGACGAAGCCCUUGUGGUGACGGUAGUGGUAGAAGAAGCACCGGCUAACUACGUG
rnacentral:rRNA from 1 species